AUGUCUCCCGCCCGCCGCCUCGCGUCCUCUGCGCCUCCGCCGCCCGUCCGGCUCCGCUGGCCCGCCCGCGCGCCGCCUCGAGCUCCUCCUCGUCCCCACCCCCAAGGGCGUCGGGCGCUCGCCGGGGAGCGCCUUCCCGGGGCGUCACCCAACCACCUGACCCUGCCGACCGGUGCGCUCCGCCACGUCGGCGCGGGCGGGCGGGCGGUGCCGGCGAGCAGGGCAAAGACAAAAAACUUCUCAUCGCUGGCUAACUCUCCAAAUGUGAGGCUGAGCCAGGUCAAAGCCAGGAGCCGGAAGCUCAUCAGAGCCAUCAUCAUUAAGCUUUAUGAAAACUUCAUCAGUGAGUUUGAACACAGGGUGAACCCUCUGUCCCUGGUGGAGAUCAUUCUUCACGUGGUUAGGCAGAUGACUGACCCUAAUGUGGCUCUUACCUUCCUGGAGAAGACUUGUGAAAAGGUUAAAAAGUAGCGAUGAAGCAGUGAUCCUGUGUAAAACAGCCAUUGGCGCCCUCAAGUUAAACAUCGGGGACCUACAGGUGACAAAGGAAACCAUCGAGGAUGUUGAAGAAAUGCUGAGUAACCUCCCAGGCGUGAGGUCCUGCUACAAAGACGCAAUGCGCUUCCUGGGCUGUGUGGACGUCAAGGAGCUCCCAGUAUCCGAGCAGCAGGAGCAAGCCUUCACGCUGGGACUUGCCGGACUCCUCGGCGAAGGAGUUUUUAACUUUGAUGAGCUCCUCGUGCACCCCGUGCUGGAGUCGCUGAGGAACACAAACCGCCAGUGGCUGAUUGACACCGUCUAUGCCUUCAACAGUGGCAACGUGGAGCGAUCCCAGACGCUGAGGGCUGCGUGGGACCAGCAGCCCGACCUGGCGGCCAACAAGGCCCAGCUCCUCAGGAAGAUCCAGCUGCUGUGCCUUACGGAGAUGACUUUCACACGACCUGCCAAUCACAGACAGCUUACUUUUGAAGAAAUGCCCAGAGUGCUAAAAUCACAGUGAACCAGGUGGAGCUGCUCGUGAUGAAGGCCCUGUCUGUUGGACUGGUGAAGAGCAGUAUAGACGAGGUGGAUAGGCAUUUGCAGCAGAUCAAGGGCAUGAAGGACCGCCUGGAGUUCUGGUGCAGCGACGUGAAGAGCAUGGAGAUGCUGGUGGAGCAGCAGGCCCACGACAUCCCCACCUAGCACCCGCCUGGCUGCUGGAUCUUGACCAGUUACAGAGGGGCCUGGUCACAGGGAGAAAGCUCCUGGGGUCUCUGCAGCCUGCAGGGGAAGGGGGGUCUCCUGGACUCAGGUGAUGCAGGUAGGCGUCCCCACCUGUGUGCCUGUGUGUCUCCCACUGUCUUUGGGAGUGUCCCUAUAAUAAAUGCCGUAGCUUCA